GACGAACGCUGGCGGCGUGCUUAACACAUGCAAGUCGAACGGAAAGGCCCUGCUUUUGUGGGGUGCUCGAGUGGCGAACGGGUGAGUAACACGUGAGUAACCUGCCCUUGUCUUUGGGAUAACUUCAGGAAACUGGGGCUAAUACCGGAUAGGAGCUCCUGCUGCAUGGUGGGGGUUGGAAAGUUUCGGCGGUUGGGGAUGGACUCGCGGCUUAUCGGCUUGUUGGUGGGGUAGUGGCUUACCAAGGCUUUGACGGGUAGCCGGCCUGAGAGGGUGACCGGCCACAUUAGGACUGAGAUACGGCCCAGACUGCUACGGGAGGCAGCAGUGGGGAAUAUUGCACAAUGGGCGGAAGCCUGAUGCAGCAACGCCGCGUGCGGGAUGACGGCCUUCGGGUUGUAAACCGCUUUCGCCUGUGACGAAGCGUGAGUGACGGUAAUGGGUAAAGAAGCACCGGCUAACUACGUG
rnacentral:rRNA from 1 species